GUAGUCACCUUGCUUAGCUAAGUUAGAAAAUCCUCAACCAGCUCAACCCGCUAUCCGGUAAAUAAAUACCUGCAUCUGCACGCGAGGUGCGGGGAGUAAAGUGAGUACUCUAACUCAGUGAGUAAUACAGGUAAAUAAUAAUUGAGCACCAAGAAAUCAUGUAAAGCAAGUCAGCAUGAUAUAUAGUACAGUGUAACCCUCUGAGAAAAAUAGUGAAGCGUGAAAAUCCUUUAGAAAAUAUCUUGACUCAGUUCAAAAGCUCUUUUGAAAAUAUCUUUUUCCAACAGUUAAGCAAAUGAAUGCGGUACAGGUAGUGAAAGUCUGCACAAAAGUCAGCCCCUCAGGCACAGCACUCCAUUAACAAAUAUCACUAGGUAUCAGGUACACAGUGCAAGAAAUAGCAUGGAAGCCAAUGAAAUGCGAGUACUGGAAUGUCAUGACAAUUAAUACAAAUAGGAACAAAUGCAUGAGUGCAAUACAAUGCAUAUGACAGUACGCUACGGUACCCGCUACAGCGUGCAGCCUGGUCCAUUUAACGUCAACAGCACUCACUGGGAUGUGUACAGACUCCGGAGGGGCUCUUAUUGGCCAAGCGCAAUAUCAAGCCAUCUCGUGGCAUCAACCGGGCCCUCGACCUCAAAAUCAAUAUAACACCCCUGCGGUGUGCAGCCCGAUCCAUGCUCAAUCCUGAAAUGAACAUGUAAUGCUGCUACGGCGUGCAGCCCCAUCCAUGCUCAGUCCAGAAAUGCACAUAUGCCACUUGGGCAAUAUUAACAUGAUAGUCAUCAGCUCAAAACGUUAAUAAAAUAUUGUUUAAGUUUUCAAAUAUUAGAAAAGCGACUGAGUUUGCAAAAAAGUAUUAAAACCUUGGACCGAGAUAAAUUAAUAUGCAAAGUAAUGCGAAAAUAGUGAUAUCAAUCCCUGAAGGAUUCACAUAGUUGGCACGAAGCAAAAACAUAAUCAGCCCAAUAUUAUGAUGAUAACAAGUAGUUUCAAUCAAAUACGUGGAGGAAAUCAACUACCGAGAGGGACUAAGUCACAAUCCCCAAUGGUGCUCUACCUCACGCUCAUAUUCGACAUGCAAUUCACCUCAAUACAGCACCAUGAUAUGCAGUUCCAAGGUUUCAAACCCUCAUGAUACCAUUUACAAGUAUUACUCACCUCGAAUUGGUGAAAUCUAUACCCCGCGACGCCUUUGCACCUCAAAACAGUCUCCACGCGCAUUGUAUCUAACAAAAAUCAUCGCAAAUACAUCACAAUAUGCUAAGAGAACAAUACCCAAUCGAAAACAAUCGAGAAAUAGCAAAAAUCUUGAAACUGGAAAAACCUGAGCCCCAGGCCCGCUCAAUCAGCCCAAAUUAUUAUGAUAACAAAUAGUUUCAAUCAAUUACGCGGUAAAAAUCAACAACCGGAACAGACCAAGUCACACUCUCCAAUGGUGCUCUACCCCACGCUCAUAUCCGGCGUGCAAGUCACCUCAAUAAAAUACUAUGAUAUUCAAAUACCGGGUUUCAAACCCUCAUGAUAUCAUUUACAAGUAUUACUCACCUCGAACUAGUGAAAUCUCUAGCUCACGACAACUUUGUCCCUCAAAUCGGCCUCCACGUGCGUCGUAUCUAACCAAAAUCGGAGCGAAUACAUCACAAUAUGCUAAAGGGAAUAAUACCCAAUCGAAAACAAUCGAGAAAUAGCAAAAAUCUCGAAACUAGCAAAACCUGAGCCCCGAGCCUGUUUCUAGAAAAAUUACAAAAACUCACAUUACCGGAUUCCUCGUCUCGCCAAGAGUUCAUACAUACCAAGAACUCCCAUAUCCGAGCUCAAAUGACCUAUCAAAUCCCAAUUUUAAAAUAUCAAAAACUCAAGCUCUAGCUUUACCGCUUUUGAAGAACUUCAACCAAUUUCCAUGUUAGAUUUACCAUAAUCUCAUGUAUUUAGUCAAGGAACUUACCUCCAAUCAUAAUCCCCCUUCAAUUCCGUCCAAGGGCUCUUGUCUUGCUUAAAAAUGGUGGAAAUAACAUAAGCCUCGCGGAACAAAAAAUAAUAUAAAACCCUCUUGGCAUCAGGGGUUUCCGCUUCUGCGGUCCCCAUGUCCGUUUCCGCGCACCGCUUCUGCAGUUUUUGUCUGCUUAUGCGGAAUUUCAUUAAAACUCAAGGGCCGCUUCUGCGACACAAAUUCCGCUUCUGCGGAACCUCACCUCCCGGCCAAGCCCGCUUCUGCGACCGCCUGUCCGCUUCUGCGGACUCGCUUAAGUGAAAUGUGUUCCACUUCUGCGGAACUACCCAACUCAGCUCCAGACCGCUUUUGCGACCAAGAUUACAGAUCCGCGGAACUGCUUCUGCUUGUCCAUUUCCGCAUAAGCGAGCAACCAGAUACUUGCAAAAUUUGCCAUUCCUCAACUCCAAUGUCACCCCGAUAGCCAUCCGAAAUCACCCCGAGGCCCCCGAGACCUUAACCAAAAGCACAUACAUGGUCCAAUACCCUAUUCAAACUUGUUCCAAUCCUAAAAACACAUCCAACAACACAAAAAUCGUCAAUUCUCAUCAAUUUCAAGCCUUAGUUCUUCAAAUUCUUCCGAAACUCGUAUUCCAUCAAAAACCUAACCAAACAACGUCCGAAUGACCUGAAAUAUUUCAAACACGUCACAAAUGACAUAUCAAAGCAACAGCAGCUUUCGAAAUUCCAUUCCGACCCUAGGAUCAAAAUCUUACCUAUUAACCGGAAUUCGCCAAAAUACUAACUUUGCCAAUUCAAGCCUAAUGCUACACAAGACCUCCAAAAUCACUUCCGAUCACACUCCUAAGUCACAAAUCACCCCUGAAGCUAAUCGAAUCACCGAAAUUUACAUCCGAGCCCUCUAACUCAAUAGUCAACAUCUAGUUGAAUUCCAAACCAAGCCUUCCUUAAAUAGACUAAGUGUCUCAUUCCUACCAAAACCUAACCAAUUCGAUUCUAACUCACCCAAUGCCGAUAAUGAAACAUGAAGAAGCAAUAAAUGGGGAAAACAGGGCAGUAACUCCCGAGAUGACGGGUCGGGUUGUUACAUCCUCCCCAACUUAAACAAACGCUCGCCGCCGAGCGUAUCCAGGGUUGUUCUAGAAGCUAACUAAUAGCUGAAUGAUCUUACCAAGCAUAUACCCGGGGGUGAUCCCGAGUCACCGUAUCACAUAUAGGUCCGAUAACACAACAUAGCUGAAAUCUCACAACCCAUCUAGACCACAAACUGUGGAACCACAUUGCACUUUCCGAAAUUAUACACAAGACCAGAACCUCACAUCUAUAUUCAGAAUAAGUUCGAACCAGCUGUAAUAACCAAUACCUACAACCUCCGUGAAAUCACUGAUAUACCACAUAAUCUAAGGACUCGAAAUGAUAACUUCUAUUCACAGUAGUUACCCACAGCAACCAAAUACCGAUAGAAACCCGUUUUAUUAGAUAAAGUCUUAAUCCAACACUUCCAUAUACUGCCAGCAACGAGUGAAACACGCGAUAAACCGAAACCACGCCUCAGAUCAUCCAUUCAUGAAGCCACUUCCCUCUUACUAAUAUCACAAUAGAUUUCCGGGCAAAACCUCGAUAUUAUCCCUCUAACAAGCUGAAAUCAAAUUUGUUCGUAUUUAAUAAUGACUCAAACAAAAGAGUUGUACCUCAAGCUCAUUAGUACCAUCACAAUACAAGGCUGAGACCCCUUCUAACAUCAUAGGAAUAGAACACCUGAAUCUACCCCAAAAGGUCAUAUCUCCAUGUGGCCUCGCUACAAAGCGUGGUCCUAUCCAAACAAUGUAACGUAUGAAACACCUUAAGUCGCCAUGCUCAAAAUCGACCGCCACGCAUAAUUUAAUGUUUGAAGUCGAAGCAAUUCAUUACACCUAUGGUGAAGCAAAUAACAUACGACACGCAACCCGAUAGGUCAUAACCAAUACUCCAUUUACCGAGCAACACUCAAUUACUCUUCCCACUCAACUUUCUCUAUGAAUCCUCAAUAGAACCAUACUAUAUGUGUCAAUAUCCAACAAAUCAUAACGUCUCACAGCACUGAAAUCAACUCAGAGAUCUCCCCAAAUCGCUAAAAAGUUCAAUAACGAUCGAAUAGACCUACCCCUCAACAACACAACUCGGGGGCAACCUAGCUAACUCAAGCUAAAUACAUACGUACCCACAUCGGCCUGCCAACGAACUCAAUUCCAAGAAGCCUAGAGAUGCUCCUUCCACUAUUAUAACUCCUGCCGGAGCCAUAAGAUACUCUGUCCUGCACCAAAUAAAUACCGAAAUCCACAAUCUCGCCCGGCGACAUGCCCGACCCCAAGAAAGACAUCCGAAAAAGUCACUCAAUACCGGAACUGCAUUAUAACCUCUACACUGACAUCCACCACGAAGGCCCGACUAAUAAAAGCAACCCUUCCUAGCUGUCCGCUAGUCUUUGGAAUACAAACUACUCUGCUAGAACAUAAUCAGAUGCACCUUGCCAUGCAACCCGUGGCAUUUACCAACAUAGCCCAUACCACAAUAGUCUAGAAUAAUCCAACACUGAGACAUCCAGUAUACAGUCCAAUAUCAUGUCCAAAAUCUAAUAUACCAAGCAAAGAAAGAUCCACUCGGGCAUCCAAAUCCCAAUAGCCGCUAACGGUACCAAUACACACGAUCCACAACCACUACAUAGUCUGUACCUGAGAACUCCCAGUCUCCAAUUCCAUAUAGCACACGAAUCACUGUACCUUAUCCCAAAUUUCACAGUACGAGUACAUAUUACACCUCAAGUACAUCCACGAGAGAUAUUCUAAAAUUCCCCAUCAUCAUCGGCUGUCGAUCUAGCAAGAAAGCACCGAAAUACUAAUGUAGUAUCAUCAGUCUAAUCAUAUUACCCUUUUUCCGAGACAUUCACUCUCAUCAAAUCACUUUUGUUUAGCAGUACCAUUUCCUUGGUUACCUGAGGCUAUCAGAAGCCUAAGAAUUUUAUGAACACCUUUUCAGAACUGAACUGUAACUCAUCUAACCAAGAACUUUCGCUGAUCCCAUUAGGAAAAAGAAUCAUUAUACAUUCCAUGCUUCGCAUACCCAUAGAAAGAUAUAUACAUCUCCAAACCACGGUAAACCCAACAAGGGCUCUCUCCCAAUUCCAUUUGCACGAGCUAAACUGCCAGGACUGAGUCCUUCUAUCCCAACCAAGCCAAGCAAGCUGUCAGGACUCAAAACCUUGUUGCACAAUACCUGUAAAGCUCUUUACCUCGAACACAUACGAAGAAUUAAUCAUACCCUUUAUCAUACCGACUUAAUCUACUAUCAACCUAUUCCAUUAAUCAAAUUUCCUUCUGAUUCAUUUUCAAUUUGAUAUUCCUCCUUGUUGUAGCACCACAAUAUCUCAACCUAGGUUAGCACACGAGACUCGAACAUAACACCACACUGCCUAAGAUCCAUAGGCUAACGAAUACUUCCUCAAAUUUUUCCAGAAAUACCACACUCCAAAACUACUUUACUUUGAAGAACUUCCGUUCGAACCUGAAUUCGGUAUCAUUACUUUCCAGAUACCGAUACAUAGAACCCCCAUAAUUAACAUAAAAUACCAUAAAUCUUGACCUUUCCGAUGAAAACACAGUCUCUGACCACAUACACAACCUUGACACACCUGAUUGUUACAUGUAGAAUCUUGAACACAAUAAAAUUAUUCUCGAGAUUCAUUCACUCUUAUUCAAAUCGCAAAUUACCUAACUUAACGAAUAGAACCACUCGUGCCUUAUUAGCACUCUAACAUUGCAGGAUAUGAUCUAAUUCCAGUACAAACAAACAUCUUCAUUCUCUAUGCACUGAGCAUUCUUGCAAAUAACACUUUAGACAUUCCGUAAUUCUCAUACUCUACAAGGCAUAAUGUAACUUUGUUAAGAUUUUGUUUCACUCGUGCCAUCCUCGGCUCAAUUUCUGCAACAAGGACCGAUCCACCAGCAUACCUCGGAACGGAGCCAACAUAGCAUAUAACCGUGUGAUCAGCUAAUAAACAGCAACCUCCCCAACUUGGCUCGAAGCCAUAUAUUGGGACAAGCUCAAUAACCCUUAAUACUUUCAAUCUAAUAAUGCCACAAUAUCAUAGUGAGAUUAAAUUCAAAUCAUCUUCCAGUUAUGAAAACACAGAUCAUCUAGUAUUGUAAGCUCUGCAAAUCUUGCAUUUAUCCUCACAUCAGUUGAGUCCACUCUCUUAAGCGACCCAAAUUGCCGAAUUUCAACAUGUACCCUUCAAUUGCACAUGAGAUCUUUUAACAUACACAUAAAGAACAUACCAUUUAAGAACACACCGCAGGAGAUAAUCCACCUGCUUCGCCUCAAUUUAGUACUUCAGCAUACCUUCCACCACCAUAUACGUUACACAGUCGUUAGUCUUCAUGAGUAUGAACUUAUACUGGCACAUACAAUGCACUUCACAUCCUAACUAGUAGAUACGAAAAUCUUAUUCACGCGCCCAUAAUUUGAGGCUACACAACAAAUCACAACUGGAAACAAAUCACUUAACAGUUCAUCUAUUAUCCAUCAGACUUCUUCGCCACUACCAAGUCAUAUGGAUACAUCUCGCAGUACUAACAUACUCAUCACAUGAAUACUAAACCGCCAUUCCGGCUAAUAGGGCUAUACCGAAUAUAUAGGCUCAAAACACGUACUCACACAAUCAGCACCUCGGUGCUCAAGCCAUAGACAAAAAUCUGGCCUCAAGUCCUCCAGACUGCCCCAACAUACUCAUGAAGAUCACAUCUCGCCCCUUGAUGGGAGAAUCACAAGCCAUCAAGAUACAUAUAAUACUGAGCGCUCAUGUGCGCAUACAGACGAGUGGAGGAAAUUUCAAGAGCUAUAUCUCAAGCUGAUUCAAGUACGCACGAUAAGAAUUCCAAGAAGGUGAAGUUUUUGCCUAAAGGUUCCGCAGCCUCUCGAGGAUAAAUACAAACAUCUCCGUACCAAUCCGUGAGACUCUACUAAACCUGCUCAUGACUCGUGAGCCUUAGUAACCUAGGCUCUGAUACCAACUUGUUACGACCCAAUUCCCCAAACUAGUCGUAAUGACGCCUCUCGUGAAGACAAGGCCAGCCAACUAACCCAAUUAGACCCCUUCCAAAUAGUUAAACAUAAAUGAAAAAUAAAAUACGAAUUAAUGACAUUAAUUAACGAAAUUUACAACUCAACGCUGUCACACCUCCUUUGUACCCACCUAAUCCGAAGGAUAAAUGUAUGAGAGAGCUUUCCAUUUUAAGUGACAUUAUUCGAAUCGGGAUUAUAUAUUCAAUUUAGGGUCGCCACUUGGGAAAGGUUUUGGCUUUUGGUGUCCCAAGUCACCGGUUUAUCUUGAAUCCCGAACAUAGGAAAAUUUUCGGGUUCCUAGUUGGAGUCCGCGAAUCAGAAAUUCUAAGCAAGGAAUUCUGUUGACCCGAGGGAAGGUGUUAGGCACCCCGCAGUUGGGUCACAUAAAUGCGCACCCAAAUUUAAGAAUAUAAAUUAUUAAAAGCGCGCUUAAAAUGACUAAUUCGGUUUUAUCUUUGGGGAAAGCCGUAAAAUUUGCUGGACGGCACAUCUCGAAUUCUUAAUAUUCAAAGCCAAUUAAGCGAGGGCCAUAUGGCAUUUCUCGAAUAACUCGACUCCUCAUUCCAAAUUUAAGAGAUCAAACAAGAAACAGUAAACACUCAACAUAAUCUACCUAAAGUACUAUACAAUUGAAUCCUUAAAGAAAACUAUAUACGCAUUAAUUCUUGCACUGAAAGCUCAAUCAAAUCAACACCCAACAUUCAUUUCUCCAUUGUUAUAGGCGAUACAAAAGCAAUUGACUAUAACUCAAAUCCAGUGGCUGCUCCCAUUACCGAAACAGGGACGUUAACAUAACACUGGAAGAUUAACAUUAAUAUAUGAGUUCAUUCGUCUCUUUCCUUUACACACUGUUAUAAAGACUUUAAAAAGAAAAAGAAAAACAGAAUUCAGCUUUUGAGAAUUAAGCUAGCGUUCAUUUUGAUCUUACAAUUACAAUGGACAAUGGAAAUUAUCUUAUGAUCAAACGCGCAAAAACUUAAAACCAUAGAAGAAUCAAAUGAAAAUAACAAAACUCACAUAAAUUGCAACAGAAUGUAUUUAAGCAAAUAACUAAUUGGAACAUGUAAAGCAAUUUCAACCAAAAGAGCAAAUAAAGAGUUCAGGAACUAGUGUAAAUCUGAAUUAAUAUCGAACAAUAAGCAAAUCAAACAUAUACACUGAUUUCAGAUCCAGAAAUCAAACAAAUUGAAAUACGGACAGAAAUAAAACUCGAAACAACUAACCAGAUCGGAAUCACGAUGCCAACGGAAAACUAUCUUUGAUAUAUUAACUAAGAGAAAAUCGAACCAAGCUUUGUACAACAGGCAUGACUUUUGAGCUAAGAAAAACGAAGCCGGACAACCAUGUCAGAAUCAAAUCCACGAACAGGACCUUGGCCGACUGCUUCAACUCCGAAUCUCCAUAGCGUUUUAGAUAAUUGACUUGAAGAUGAAGAACAGAAUGCUUUUGAUUUUUUUUUUUUUUUGUGAAACACACAAUUUUCUUUAUGUCUUUCUCCCUCUCUGUCCGUUCUCUCUGCUUUGUGUGUGAAGUUUUAAACAAAGAUAAAACAACAGAAAGAGGAGAUCGAAAGUUUUGACCAAUUUAAUCCGAAUAUUCCUGCUCGAUCUAUCCCUAAAAUUCCCGUCCUUAUUUCGUUUCCCCUCUACUAUUUUUCGUUUUUCUCUUGCAAUUGCUGGUGGUUGACGAACGGAGAUGGUGUGAGGAAGAUGAGGUCGGGGGAAGGUCCUUUUUGGUGUAUUUUUUCCAGUCUUUUGUGUGUAGUUUUUCCUCCUUUUUUUGGUGAGAUGAGUGUCUAUUAUAUAAUAGUGUAUAGGGUGUACCUGGGAGAAGGUUUAUGUGAGGUAUUAUUUU
rnacentral:lncRNA from 1 species